GAUGAACGCUGGCGGCGUGCCUAAUACAUGCAAGUCGAGCGAACAGACGAGGAGCUUGCUCCUCUGACGUUAGCGGCGGACGGGUGAGUAACACGUGGAUAACCUACCUAUAAGACUGGGAUAACUUCGGGAAACCGGAGCUAAUACCGGAUAAUAUAUUGAACCGCAUGGUUCAAUAGUGAAAGACGGUUUUGCUGUCACUUAUAGAUGGAUCCGCGCCGCAUUAGCUAGUUGGUAAGGUAACGGCUUACCAAGGCGACGAUGCGUAGCCGAACUGAGAGGGUGAUCGGCCACACUGGAACUGAGACACGGUCAAGACUCCUACGGGAGGCAGCAGUAGGGAAUCUUCCGCAAUGGGCGAAAGCCUGACGGAGCAACGCCGAGUGAGUGAUGAAGGUCUUCGGAUCGUAAAACUCUGUUAUUAGGGAAGAACAAAUGUGUAAGUAACUAUGCACGUCUUGACGGUACCUAAUCAGAAAGCCACGGCUAACUACGUG
rnacentral:rRNA from 1 species